AAUGUUGUGUUUUUAAAUGGUAGAAGAGAAGUGUUAUUUAGUUAAAUGUUAUAUGAAAAUUUUAUAUAAAGGUUUUUAUUUUAUUUAUAUAGAAGGAGUUUUUAUGGAUUAAUUAUUUUUAAAGAUUUUAUUUUUUAAUAUUAUUUUAUUGUUAAUAUUUGUAUUUGGGAAGUGAUAUGUUGAAAUAUAGUAGAAGUGUUUUAGUA
rnacentral:misc_RNA from 1 species